rnacentral:tRNA from 1 species
GCCAGAGUGGCGGAAUUGGCAGACGCGCUGGAUUCAAAAUCCAGUUCCCUUCGGGGAGUGAGGGUUCGAGUCCCUCCUCUGGUA